rnacentral:rRNA from 1 species
UGUCUCCUACGGGAGGCAGCAGUGGGGAAUAUUGGGCAAUGGGCGCAAGCCUGACCCAGCAACGCCGCGUGAAGGAAGAAGGCCCUCGGGUUGUAAACUUCUUUUGUCAGGGACGAAGCAAGUGACGGUACCCGACGAAUAAGCCACGGCUAACUACGUGCCAGCAGCCGCGGUAAUACGUAGGUGGCAAGCGUUAUCCGGAUUUACUGGGUGUAAAGGGCGUGUAGGCGGGAAAGCAAGUCAGAUGUGAAAACCAUGGGCUCAACCUGUGGCCUGCAUUUGAAACUGUUUUUCUUGAGUACUGG